rnacentral:rRNA from 1 species
GAUGAACGCUGGCGGCGUGCCUAAUACAUGCAAGUCGAGCGAACAGACGAGGAGCUUGCUCCUCUGACGUUAGCGGCGGACGGGUGAGUAACACGUGGAUAACCUACCUAUAAGACUGGGAUAACUUCGGGAAACCGGAGCUAAUACCGGAUAAUAUAUUGAACCGCAUGGUUCAAUAGUGAAAGACGGUUUUGCUGUCACUUAUAGAUGGAUCCGCGCCGCAUUAGCUAGUUGGUAAGGUAACGGCUUACCAAGGCAACGAUGCGUAGCCGACCUGAGAGGGUGAUCGGCCACACUGGGACUGAGACACGGUCCAGACUCCUACGGGAGGCAGCAGUAGGGAAUCUUCCGCAAUGGGCGAAAGCCUGACGGAGCAACGCCGCGUGAGUGAUGAAGGUCUUCGGAUCGUAAAACUCUGUUAUUAGGGAAGAACAAAUGUGUAAGUAACUAUGCACGUCUUGACGGCACCUAAUCAGAAAGCCACGGCUAACUACGUG